AACGAACGCUGGCGGCAGGCUUAACACAUGCAAGUCGAGCGCCCCGCAAGGGGAGCGGCAGACGGGUGAGUAACGCGUGGGAAUCUACCCAUCUCUACGGAAUAACGCAUGGAAACGUGUGCUAACACCGUAUACGUCCUUCGGGAGAAAGAUUUAUCGGAGAUGGAUGAGCCCGCGUUGGAUUAGCUAGUUGGUGGGGUAAAGGCCUACCAAGGCGACGAUCCAUAGCUGGUCUGAGAGGAUGAGCAGACACACUGUGACUGAGACACGGCCCAGACUCCUACGGGAGGAAGCAGUGGGGAAUAUUGGACAAUGGCGGCAAGCCUGAUCCAGCCAUGCCGCGUGAGUGAUGAAGGCCCUAGGGUUGUAAAGCUCUUUCACCGGUGAAGAUAAUGACGGUAACCGGAGAAGAAGCCCCGGCUAACUUCGUGCCAGCAGCCGCCGUAAAAC
rnacentral:rRNA from 1 species